GACGAACGCUGGCGGCGUGCUUAACACAUGCAAGUCGAACGAAAAUACCAAGCUUGCUUGGUUGAUUAGUGGCGAACGGGUGAGUAACACGUGAGUAACCUGCCCCUUACUUUCCUGGAUAACUGCUCGAAAGGGUAGCUAAUACGGGAUAUUCUGACCAGCCUGCAUGGGUUGGUUUGGAAAGGUUGUUUUUCUGGUAAGGGAUGGGCUCGCGGCCUAUCAGCUUGUUGGUGGGGUGAUGGCCUACCAAGGCUUUGACGGGUAGCCGGCCUGAGAGGGUGGACGGUCACACUGGGACUGAGAUACGGCCCAGACUCCUACGGGAGGCAGCAGUGGGGAAUAUUGCACAAUGGGCGCAAGCCUGAUGCAGCGACGCCGCGUGAGGGAUGAAGGCCUUCGGGUUGUAAACCUCUUUCGUCAGGGAACAAGGCAUUGCCUUUUUUGGUGGUGUUGAGGGUACCUGGAUAAGAAGCGCCGGCUAACUACGUGCCAGCAGCCGCGGUAAUACGUAGGGCGCAAGCGUUGUCCGGAAUUAUUGGGCGUAAAGAGCUCGUAGGCGGCUGGUCGCGUCUGUCGUGAAAACUUCCGGCUUAACCGGGGGCUUGCGGUGGGUACGGGCCGGCUAGAGUGCGGUAGGGGUAACUGGAACUCCUGGUGUAGCGGUGGAAUGCGCAGAUAUCAGGAAGAACACCGAUGGCGAAGGCAGGUUACUGGGCCGUUACUGACGCUGAGGAGCGAAAGCGUGGGGAGCGAACAGG
rnacentral:rRNA from 1 species